rnacentral:rRNA from 1 species
CAACCCUGAUCCAGCCAUGCCGCGUGGGUGAAGAAGGCCUUCGGGUUGUAAAGCCCUUUUGUACGGGAAGAAAAGCUUCCGGUGAAUAUCCGGGGGUCAUGACGGUACCGUAAGAAUAAGCACCGGCUAACUUCGUGCCAGCAGCCGCGGUAAUACGAAGGGUGCAAGCGUUACUCGGAAUUACUGGGCGUAAAGCGUGCGUAGGCGGUGAGUUAAGUCUGAUGUGAAAUCCCCGGGCUCAACCUGGGAAUGGCAUUGGAUACUGGCUCGCUAGAGUACGGUAGAGGGUGGUGGAAUUCCCGGUGUAGCAGUGAAAUGCGUAGAGAUCGGGAGGAACAUCUGUGGCGAAGGCGGCCACCUGGACCAGUACUGACGCUGAGGCACGAAAGCGUGGGGAGCAAACAGGAUUAGAUACCCUGGUAGUCCACGCCCUAAACGAUGCGAACUGGAUGUUGGGCUGCAACUUGGAGCUCAGUAUCGAAGCUAACGCGUUAAGUUCGCCGCCUGG